UUGUAAUGGGCUCCCAUAUUAAGUGCAUUACGGUAGGGGCGCUACUGCGUCUAUUACGGUAGCUGAGGGCUGUAGCGUAAGCUAGGAAUGGCGGCAGCCAGUGGGUCAGUAGUGUGUAUGUACUCGGCCAUGCUGCGUGGGCUCUGGGAACACUAAAAAGGGAAACACUCUACUGUGCUGGGGAUUGCUGGCCACUGAGGGGAGCUGUGGCUGCAUUUAAAGGGUGCUGAUUUUGGUGGAUAACUUUGGUGUGGAGCCCACAUGAGAUUCUUAUGGUUGUCAUGGUUGCUGUAUAUGAUUUAAUCUAUGUCACUGUUUUAUCACUGUGAAACAUAUAUUUUGCUAGUAUCUGUUUGUUGUAUAUGUUUAGUAAAUUGGCCUAAUGAAGUAGAUUCUAUCAUUGAUGCUGUUUUUUUUACAAUUGAGUAUUUUUGGAUUAAAUAAAGGUAAAAGCUGUUUCAAAUUAA